AGAGUUUGAUCCUGGCUCAGGAUGAACGCUGGCGGCGCGCUUAACACAUGCAAGUCGAAGGUUAAAGCACCUUCGGGUGUGGAUAAAGUGGCGAACGGCUGAGUAACACGUGGGCAACUGCCCCCCGCACCGGGAUAGCCUCGGGAAACCGUGGGUAAUACCGGAUACUCCGCGAGCCCGCAUGGCGCUCGCGGGAAAGCAAUGCACGGCGGGGGAUGGGCCCGCGGCCUGUUAGCCGUUGGCGGGGUAACGGCCCACCAAGGCGAUUAUGGGUAGCCGGGUUGAGAGACCGACCGCCAGAUUGGGACUGAGACACGGCCCAGACUCCUACGGGAGGCAGCAGUGGGGAAUCUUCACAAUGGGCGAAAGCCUGAUGCAGCGACGCCGCGUGCGGGAAGAAGGCCCUCGGGUUGAAACCGCUUUCAGCAGGGACGAGGCGCAAGUGACGGUACCUGCAGAAGAAGCCCCGGCUACUACGUGCCAGCAGCCGCGGUAAUACGUAGGGGGCGAGCGUUAUCCGGAUUCAUUGGGGUAAAGCGCGCGUAGGCGGCCAGUUAGGUCGGGAGUCAAAUCCGGGGGCUCAACCCCCGCCGCUCCCGAUACCGGCUGGCUUGAGUCUGGUAGGGGAAGGUGGAAUUCCAAGUGUAGCGUGGAAUGCGCAGAUAUUUGGAAGAACACCGGUGGCGAAGGCGGCCUUCUGGGCCACGAUGACGCUGAGGCGCGAAAGCUAGGGGAGCGAACAGGAUUAGAUACCCUGGUAGUCCUAGCGUAAACGAUGGGCACUAGUGUGGGGGGACGAUCCCUCCGUGCCGCAGCUAACGCAUUAGUGCCCCGCCUGGGGAGUACGGCCGCAAGGCUAAAACUCAAGGAAUUGACGGGGCC
rnacentral:rRNA from 1 species